GCUGGGCAUGGUGGCACAUGCCUGUAUUUCCGACUACUUGGGAGGCUGAUGCUGGAGGAUCACUUGAGCCCAGGAGUUUGAGGCUGCAGUGAGCUAGGAUCACACCACUGCACUUUAGCCUGGGCAACAGAGUGAGACCCCUUCUCUU
rfam:Pan troglodytes isolate Yerkes chimp pedigree #C0471 (Clint) chromosome 1, whole genome shotgun sequence.